CCUAUAUGCCAGACAUUGCGCUACCUGGGCAGUCAUAAAACAUAAAAAUACUUUGUAGAUUAUAAGGCUUUUGUACAAAAUCCUUUAUAAACUAGAAGGUGUCUUACGUGAUUUUUUUCCCUCCGCUUUCUUCACGUCUCCCAGUCUGGAUACACUCAAGUUUGCCCUAUGACACAUCCUGCAACUCAUUGUACUCUGAAGCCCUCAUUUAAACUACAACACAUGGCAGCCAUCAAGAACAAUGGUUUCCUCUUACCUCUUGGAUCUUUCUUCUGACUUCUCCUCGUCCUGGCUCAGGAACUCACCUCCACUCCCAGAACCACCUGUCUGGUUUCCCUGCCUCUAGGCCUGCCCUGCCAACCAGUGUGAUAUUUCUUAGAGAGAAAUCGGAUCCUGCCUCAAGUCUACAAAUGUGAUGUGAGUUGACAGGAUAAAACCUAAUUAGGCUCCUUAGUUAGAUAUAGAAUGCUGCUUCUAACCUGGCUGUCCAUGACCUCAAACACUAUCCUCAGUAGCACCCCUUUAAAGUCUGCAGCAUAGAACCAUUUGUAGUUCCAGUGUUGGAGAACUAGGCUGCUUAUACAUCGUCAGCAUACGUGUAGUCCCUCUACUCUAGAAUGUAGGUUACGAUUGCUUGUGUGGCUGUCUCCCACCACAGGGCAAUCUCCUGGAGGGCAGGGAUCUUGCUUGCCCCCUUAUAUCUCAGUGUUUAGUAUGACACCUUAUAGUUGGACAAAAAGUUAAUAAAUGUAAGCAGCUCCAGAAAAUAGAUUGAUGU
rnacentral:lncRNA from 1 species